rnacentral:rRNA from 1 species
AUGGGUUUCUCCGAGGUGGUACAAUGGUGGGACGAGUGGCAGCUCCGUGUGCUCGUCCUGGGCAGUCUCUUCCUCCAGUACUUCCUCUUCGUCGCAGCCGGUAUGCGCAAGCGUUGCAUCCCCUCCUGGUUCAGGUUCUUCAUCUGGCUCGCCUACCUGGGCAGCGACGCAUUGGCCAUAUACGCCCUUGCCACCCUCUUCAACAGCCACAGGAAGCAGGAGCGGACGUCCACGCGCCGUGGCAGCUCCAGCCUGGAGGCGUUGUGGGCGCCGGUGCUGCUGGUGCACCUCGGUGGCCAGGACGGCAUCACUGCCUACAACAUGAGGACAACGAGCUGUGGAGGCGGCACGUCCUCACCGCGGUGUCUCAGGUUCUUCCCAAUCAAUGAUCCACUACAUUUUGAAUUGAUUCUCUUUAUAAACAUUUGGUUUGCCGGUUGGAACUAUUUCUGCUUUCAAAAUGUUGUGCAGUUUUGUUGUAUUUACAGUUUAAACCUGAUCUUUUCUCCAAAUUUGUUGAGACCUACCUUUUUCGAAUGCCAACUAUACUUUGCCAGUUGGUCGAGUUGA